rnacentral:rRNA from 1 species
AUUGAACGCUGGCGGCAGGCCUAACACAUGCAAGUCGAGCGGAUGAAGGGAGCUUGCUCCUGGAUUCAGCGGCGGACGGGUGAGUAAUGCCUAGGAAUCUGCCUGGUCGUGGGGGAUAACGUCCGGAAACGGGCGCUAAUACCGCAUACGUCCUGCGGGAGAAAGUGGGGGAUCUUCGGACCUCACGCUAUCAGAUGAGCCUAUGUCGGAUUAGCUAGUUGGUGGGGUAAAGGCCUACCAAGGCGACGAUCCGUAACUGGUCUGAGAGGAUGAUCAGUCACACUGGAACUGAGACACGGUCCAGACUCCUACGGGAGGCAGCAGUGGGGAAUAUUGGACAAUGGGCGAAAGCCUGAUCCAGCCAUGCCGCGUGUGUGAAGAAGGUCUUCGGAUUGUAAAGCACUUUAAGUUGGGAGGAAGGGCAGUAAGUUAAUACAUUGCUGUUUUGACGGUACCAAAAGAAUAAGCACCGGCUAACUUCGUG